GACGAACGCUGGCGGCGUGCUUAACACAUGCAAGUCGAACGGAAAGGCUCCAGAUUGUUGGUGUACUCGAGUGGCGAACGGGUGAGUAACAAGUGGGUAAUCUGCCCUGCACUCUGGGAUAAGCAUGGGAAACUGGGUAUAACAAUGGAUAUGACCUUUCUCAUUAUGGGGUCUGGUGGAAAGUUUAUCGGUGUAGGAUGUGUCCGCGGUCGCUGAGCUUGUUGGUGGGGUGAUGGCCUACCAAGGCGAGGACGGGUAGCCGGCCUGAGAGGGUGAUCGGCCACAUUGGGACUGGGAUACGGCCCAGACUCCUACGGGAGGCAGCAGUGGGGAAUAUUGCACAAUGGGCGGAAGCCUGAUGCAGCGACGCCGCGUGGGGGAUGACGGCCUUCGGGUUGUAAACCUCUUUCAGCAGGGACGAAGCGUAAGUGACGGUACCUGCAGAAGAAGCACCGGCUAACUACGUG
rnacentral:rRNA from 1 species